ACGCAACGCGAAGAACCUUACCAAGGCUUGACAUAUACCGAUAAGCAGCAGAGAUGUUGUGUCCGCAAGGUCGGUAUACAGGUGGUGCAUGGUUGUCGUCAGCUCGUGUCGUGAGAUGUUGGGUUAAGUCCCGCAACGAGCGCAACCCUCGUUCUGUGUUGCCAGCAUUUAGUUGGGGACUCACAGGAGACUGCCGUGGUCAACACGGAGGAAGGUGGGGAUGACGUCAAAUCAUCAUGCCCCUUAUGUCUUGGGCUGCACGCAUGCUACGAUGGCAGGUACAAAGGGCUGCGAUACCGUAAGGUGGAGCGAAUCCCAAAAAGUCUGUCUCAGUUCGGAUUGAGGUCUGCAACUCGACCUCAUGAAGUCGGAGUUGCUAGUAAUCGUAGAUCAGCAACGCUACGGUGAAUACGUUCCCGGGGCUUGUACACACCGCCCGUCACGUCACGAAAGUCGGUAACACCACAAAGUCAGUGGCCCAACCGCAAGGAG
rnacentral:rRNA from 1 species